rnacentral:rRNA from 1 species
GGGGAGUACGGUCGCAAGGCUGAUACUCAAAGGAAUUGACGGGGGCCCGCACAAGCGGUGGAGCAUGUGGUUUAAUUCGACGCAACGCGAAGAACCUUACCUGGGCUCGAUCGGCUUUUGACCGCCCUGGAAACAGGGUUUCCAUGCAGCUUGCUGUAUGGCAGGAGUCGAGGUGCUGCAUGGCUGUCGUCAGCUCGUGCCGUGAGGUGUUCGGUUAAGUCCGGCAACGAGCGCAACCCCUGCCCUUAGUUACCAGCGGGUCAUGCCGGGAACUCUAAGGGGACUGCCUUGGUUAACGAGGAGGAAGGUGGGGACGACGUCAAGUCAUCACGGCCUUUAUGUCCAGGGCUACACACGUGCUACAAUGGUCGGUACAAAGGGCUGCAAACCCGCGAGGGGGAGCCAAUCCCAUAAAGCCGGCCUCAGUUCGGAUUGCAGUCUGCAACUCGACUGCAUGAAGCUGGAAUCGCUAGUAAUCGCGGAUCAGCACGCCGCGGUGAAUACGUUCCCGGGCCUUGUACACACCGCCCGUAAGGGC